AAUCAACGCUGGCGGCAGGCUUAACACAUGCAAGUCGAACGGGCAUAGCAAUAUGUCAGUGGCAGACGGGUGAGUAACGCGUGGGAACAUACCUCUUGGUUCGGAACAACACAGGGAAACUUGUGCUAAUACCGGAUAAGCCCUUACGGGGAAAGAUUUAUCGCCGAAAGAUUGGCCCGCGUCUGAUUAGCUAGUUGGUGAGGUAAUGGCUCACCAAGGCGACGAUCAGAGCUGGUCUGAGAGGAUGAUCAGCCACAUUGGGACUGAGACACGGCCCAAACUCCUACGGGAGGCAGCAGUGGGGAAUAUUGGACAAUGCACGAAAGUGUGACCCAGCGACGCCGCGUGGAGGACGAAGGCCCUUGGGUCGUAAACUCCUUUUACGAGAGAAGAAUGAGCCGCAAGGCUUUUGACGGUAUCUCGUGAAUAAGCCACGGCUAACUACGUGCCAGCCGCCGCCGU
rnacentral:rRNA from 1 species